GUUUGAUCCUGGCUCAGAUUGAACGCUGGCGGCAUGCCUUACACAUGCAAGUCGAACGGCAGCACGGGAGCUUGCUCCUGGUGGCGAGUGGCGAACGGGUGAGUAAUACAUCGGAACGUACCCAGGAGUGGGGGAUAACGUAGCGAAAGUUACGCUAAUACCGCAUAUUCUGUGAGCAGGAAAGCGGGGGAUCGCAAGACCUCGCGCUCUUGGAGCGGCCGAUGUCGGAUUAGCUAGUUGGUGAGGUAAAAGCUCACCAAGGCGACGAUCCGUAGCAGGUCUGAGAGGAUGAUCUGCCACACUGGGACUGAGACACGGCCCAGACUCCUACGGGAGGCAGCAGUGGGGAAUUUUGGACAAUGGGGGCAACCCUGAUCCAGCCAUGCCGCGUGAGUGAAGAAGGCCUUCGGGUUGUAAAGCUCUUUCGGCGGGGAAGAAAUGGCAACGGCUAAUAUCCGUUGUUGAUGACGGUACCCGCAUAAGAAGCACCGGCUAACUACGUGCCAGCAGCCGCGGUAAUACGUAGGGUGCGAGCGUUAAUCGGAAUUACUGGGCGUAAAGCGUG
rnacentral:rRNA from 1 species